GACGAACGCUGGCGGCGUGCUUAACACAUGCAAGUCGAGCGGAAAGGCCCUUUCGGGGGUACUCGAGCGGCGAACGGGUGAGUAACACGUGAGUAAUCUGCCUCUGGCUUCGGGAUAGCCACCGGAAACGGUGAUUAAUACCGGAUAUGACAUCUUCACGCAUGUGAUGGGUGUGGAAAGUUUUUCGAUUAAGGAUGGAUUCGCGGCCUAUCAGCUUGUUGGUGAGGUAAUGGCUCACCAAGGCGACGACGGGUAGCCGGCCUGAGAGGGUGAACGGCCACACUGGGACUGAGACACGGCCCAGACUCCUACGGGAGGCAGCAGUGGGGAAUAUUGCGCAAUGGACGAAAGUCUGACGCAGCGACGCCUCGUGAGGGACGAAGGUCUUCGGAUUGUAAACCGCUUUCAGCAGGGAUGAAAAUGACAGUACCUGCAGAAGAGGCCCCGGCUAACUACGUGCCAGCAGCCGCCGUAAGAC
rnacentral:rRNA from 1 species